UUGGGGUAGUGGCCCAACAAGGUUUUGACGGGUAACGGAGAAUCAGGGUUCGAUUCCGGAGAGGGAGCCUGAGAAACGGCUACCACAUCCAAGGAAGGCAGCAGGCGCGAAAAUUACCCAAUCCGGAUACCGGGAGGUAGUGACGAGAAAUACCAAAACGGACAAAUUGUUCGUUAUUGGAAUGAAAUUAAUCUAGAAACUUAAUUGAGUAACUACUGGAGGGCAAGUCUGGUGCCAGCAGCCGCGGUAAUUCCAGCUCCAGUAGUGUAUAUCAAAAUUGUUGCGGUUAAAACGCUCGUAGUUGGAUGACAAAAGUUACCCUACAUAGGGUUUUUUAAACUUCUGUGUAGGAGUAACUUUUUUAUUGCAAAUUCUGUUGGUUGGCUUAACUGCUUAUCGAUGGUCAUUUGCAAAGCGUGCCUUGAAUAAAGCAAAAUGCUCAAAUCAAGCUUAACGCUAGAAUGUAACAGCAUGGAACGAACAACCAGAUUUCUGGUUCAGUUGUUUGGUAAAAUUCAAGGUGUUGUAUCGGCUCUGUCUUAUCUCAGCCUCUUCAAUUUUUGCUGUUGUGAUUCUUAGUAGUCCACUCAAUAUUGAAUGAUGGUCGUAGCUCUAAUUCGACUCGACCAUUUUGUACUCUGAACCGGGUCAUGAUUAACAGAAGCAUUUGAGGGCGUUAGUAUUUGGUGGCGAGAGGUGAAAUUCUUAGACCCAUCAAGGACUAGCUAAUGCGAAAGCAUUCGCCAAGGAUGUUUUCAUUAAUCAAGAACGAAAGUUGGAGGUUCGAAGACGAUCAGAUACCGUCGUAGUUCCAUACAGUAAACUAUGCCACCACGGGGUCAGCCCGUUAUAAUCAUACAGGUUGGUCCCCCAGAGAAAUCUGAAGUUUUCGGGUUCCGGGGGGAGUAUUGUCGCAAGUCUGAAACUUAAAGGAAUUGACGGAAGGACACCACCAGGAGUGGAGCCUGCGGCUUAAUUUGACUCAACACGGGGCAACUCACCAGGUCCGGACAUUGAAAGGAAUGACAGACUGAUAGAUCUUUCAUGAUACAAUGAUUGGUGGUGCAUGGCCGUUCUUAGUUGGUGGAGUGAUCUGUCAGGUCUAUUCCGGUAACGAGCGAGACCACGAUCUCUAUUUUAUCCCUCAGUCUAUCAUUACUAUUACUUUGUAUUAGUACAGUAUGUGCUUUGCAAAUAAUCUGACUUCGGCAACGUGGAAAGAUUGUUUGUAACGUCUUAUUGUAUUUAAUACACUGUGAAAGUAGGACGAGAUAAUAGAGAGACCACCGUGCGGUUUAACAAGCCGGGGGAAGCGUGGCAAUAACAGGUCUGUGAUGCCCUUCGAUGUUCUGGGCUGCACGCGCGCUACAAUGGCAGUGACAAAAAGUUACUAAUCCGAGAGGAAUGGUUAAACAUUAAUCGCUGUCGUAACAGGGAUCGAGCCUUGUAAUAAUUGCUCGUGAAAGAGGAAUUCCUCGUAAAUACGAGUCACCAACUCGUGUUGAAUAUGUCUCUGUCCUUUGUACACACCGCCCGUCGCUACUACCGAUUGAAUAGGAUCUCGAAAAGUAGAGAUUUGGAAGAGUUUAUUCUUUUCUAGAAAACCACUUUAAGAAAUUCAUUCUAGAGGAAGUAAAAGUCGUAACAAGGUUU
rnacentral:rRNA from 1 species